GGCUAAAUGCGGGAAGACUGGGUGGCAAAAUCAUGAAUGAAAUUCUGAUUUUUUUUUUUUUUGGUUGUGAUGUCAAACAAUGUCACGGGGCGGGCAUGCUGCUGUGAAAGGGCUACAGCUACAGCCGAUGUGCGAAAAGGCGUGAGCAAAAAGGGAAGAGUUGGGGAUAACAAGAUAUUAGUCAGCGCUGCAACAACGUCAGAGACGAGGAUCUACGGAGAACGCUGUGUCCCAUCCGGGCUGCCGUUACCGGUGCCGUUCUCCUCAACCGGGAUGACUAACUCCGUCGAUAUCUGCUGCUUCAGACUUGCCUGUGUUUCUGCUGAGGUCAUAGUUGCAGUGCUAAAUCUACAGCCCAUCAUCCCACAGUGGGACCAGUAAGAUGUAGAAAUAAAGGGAGUGAGUGGGUGAGGAAGAGGGAAUGGUGGAGGGAGGGAUCCAAUGGUGAGAGAGAAAAUAUAUGGGGGCAGAAGUGAGGAGUGUGCCUGCACACGUCAGGAGGACUCAAACCAGUCCCUGUCAUCGCCCUCAACUGAGCCGGCCUUCUCUGCCCACACAAUACUCCUUGCCGUAUCCCUCUCCUCUUCUCUGCCGGCUGCCUCCCCUUAACUCACCCCUUUGCUCUGCAAUUUCCAGGUGAGCAACAGCUUGUCACCGGUUCACUCCACUGUUGACAAUCUUUAACAUCACCCACCCUUGGACAGAUUCACUGGCUUCCUCCUUCACCAGCACCAUGUGUUACACUUCAGCCCAUUCCUGUCACAGCAUGUCAGCAUCAGCCACAGCGGAGAAAUCAUCUGAGGACACACAGAUAUCUGCCUACCUACACACCUAUCAGUUUUAUUCAGUCAAAACAUACGGCCCACUUUAUUCAGCAAUAACAGGCAAAUACGCAGAUCAGCCGUGACAACAUGACAGUUCAAGUGAAUGACACUAAUUAUCUCAUUAUCGUGGUACCUGUAAGUGGUUGGGAUAUUUUAGACAGCAAGUAGAUACAGUAUUUUGUCCUCAAUUGCAGGAAAAAAUGGACAAAUGGAAGAAUUUGAGCCAAUGACUUGAUCAGAGCACCCCCAAAACUGCAGCUCCUCCAGGGGAUUUUUGGUCUGCAGUACCUAGCAAAAGUAGUCCAAGGAGGGAAAAGAGGUGAACCGGCAACUGGGUCAUGGGCGACCGAAGCUCACUCAUGCACUUGUGAGCAAAGGUUCAUCCGAUCUAAAAGUUGAGCUACUAUAACUCAAAUGAGUGUAAAAAUAAAUGCUGGUUCUGCCAAUGCAGCUGGUUUUGUGUGAGCCUGCGUAGCCACAGACCUGUCUAGGUGUCCAUUCUGACCCCCGUCCACUGCUGAUAACACCUGAAAUGUUCAUGUGAACAUAAGAACUGGACCACAGUACAAUGGAAGAAGGUGUUGUGGCAAUCCAAAAGGCGUUGAAUAAGGUCAACUGAACUUGUAGAACAAGAACAAGGAACAAGGACUCUACAAGUCCAGUUGACCUUAUUCAACGCCUUUUGGAUUACCAUGACCUGGAUGACUGAGAACCUUCACAGACAAGGUGUUCUGGUCUGAUAUGUUUUCUUUUGCACCACGUGGAUGACUGGGUGGAUAUGUGUUGCUUAGCUGAGAAACACCAGGAUGCUGUGAACACCUCCUUGUUGUUGUCACUAACAGUUGAGAGUGUAUGUUCAGAGUUACAACAACUAGCUUCAAAUGUUUUCACUUUAAAAUCAUUAACAAGUGUGACUCUUGAUACCUUGAUUUUCCAAAGAAACCAACAUGAGAAACAUUGAUCAUCAGCUCACAGUCCAAUUAAAAUAUCUGUACCGUGACUGAUGUGUUUUUAUGUAAACUGUGUAAAUGAGUACGAGGUGCCUGAAACCACAAGUGCGUAUAAUAAGUAUAAAAACAAACUGAGCAUGACACACACUGGUGACAUGGUAUUGGAGUCACGAACAGAAUUUGAAACACGUGGUUGCUGCAGGGUAUUUGAAUAAUGCAGGCGUAAACAAUGACGAAAGCAGUUUGGCGUUAAGGUUUACACAUUCCUGUCUACGCAUGUUGACUGGUUCUCAGCAGCUUUGGCCUCUUUUGGUAUAGCACUUGCAGAUACAUAAUGGUACAUGUUAUACAGCACUGUGUGCUGUGCUAAAAAGUAUGUGAACAGAGUUUUGCACGUGUGAUCUCGUGUACACCUUUAAAAUUUGAUUUCCUUAUAGUCACUUCUCAUUUUUUAAAUAAUUGUGGCACAUAUAAGGAUUCAAUUGAUAUAUAAAAACAAGGGUGCAUGUUUUUGUUUUAACUCAGCCUUUCAAGGACUCAACCAGCGUUCCUGUUGGAAAGGGCUGCUGCACGAAAGCUGAUGUCUGAAAGGAAGAACACAAGUUAGUAGAAUAUCCAGUGAGACUUGUACACAUUUAAAGUGUUUGACAUAUAGUUUUAACAAAUGUCAAACUUAGCCGAGGAUUAAUGUUACAACAGCCACUAAAUAAUCUCAGCGGCUCUCUUGAACAUUUUAGUCAUGGUUGAUGUAGCAACAACUGUUUUUACUGAUGGCAACAGCAAACAUGGUUUAAUACUAAACUCUGAAAUUCAAACCAGUUGCCUGCAGCACUGCAUCUAAUACCUCAUUGUUGCUGCUCGGCCACAAAUGUUUCAUGGACUUUUUUUUUCAUGAAUAGUGGUGAGUACUACACUCUCCAUUUCUUAUGUCUUCUACAUAAUAAAGUAAACUUGUGUGA